AAAAAUCUGUAACAAACUGAUCUGAUUGGUGGAAAAACAUUGUGAUGAUUAAAUCAACCAAUCAGUUUAAAACAGUUUAGUUUUAAAGACGUAACGGUCACAGAUUGCUUCAAAACAAAACAAACAUGGCGCCCCGCUACACAAAGUAAAAGUUGCCUUCGCAUGGAAAAUAUGGCUUUUAUCUUUAUUUUUAAAUGGAAAAGCAUUUACCUUAAACAAGAC